AGCUUUGUGCUGUGGAAGUAUUGUAGCCAAUGAGGUUUAUCCAAGGCAUGAUUAUUGCUAAUUAAGAAUUAAGUUACAAUUAGGGCGCCUGGGUGGCUCAGUGGGUUAAGCCGCUGCCUUCGGCUCAGGUCAUGAUCUCAGGGUC
ensembl:snRNA U4 U4 spliceosomal RNA